rnacentral:lncRNA from 1 species
ACUCGCUGUCUUUCUCUUCCAUGUGAAAACACAGCAAGAAGGCAGCCAUCUGUAGGGCAGGAAGAGAGCCCUCACCAGAACUUGACCAUGCUGGCACCCUGAUCUCAGACUUCUAGCCUCCAGAACUUGCAGCAUUGAAACAGAGUUACUGUGAAUACAGAAGACUGUCUAUCCCACAGCAGGCAAUGCAAUUAAAGACUUCAGAGAAUGCCAGAUUUUUCAGAAUGCAUCAUAGAAUUUUCAAAGCUGUAAGAAAGAGGUGAGGAUGCUGAGAUGUAGAGAGACUGAUUUGCUCAAGAUAACAAAGAGUUUUAUUGAUUUGGGAACCCAUGGAAGGGGGUCAGCUGUGAGAUAUCACAUGAUCAGACUGACUGCCUGACCAGACUGACUGCCAUCCUGUUAAAGGAAUGAAUCACAGUUCAUCUCGCAGAUUUAUGGCAUGCCUACAGAAAAAGUACCUUAUGAUGCAAACCUGAAAGUUUAAAUAAUCUCCUGAAAGUUCCACAAUCA